UACGUAGGGUGCGAGCGUUAAUCGGAAUUACUGGGCGUAAAGCGUGCGCAGGCGGUUUUGUAAGCCAGGUGUGAAAUCCCCGGGCUCAACCUGGGAAUGGCAUUUGGGACUGCAAGGCUGGAGUGCGGCAGAGGAGACUGGAAUUCCUGGUGUAGCAGUGAAAUGCGUAGAUAUCAGGAGGAAUACCGAUGGCGAAGGCGGGUCUCUGGGCCGAUAUUGACGCUGAGGAGCGAAAGCGUGGGGAGCGAACAGG
rnacentral:rRNA from 1 species